AGCAGCCGCGGUAAUUCCAGCUCCAAUAGCGUAUAUUAAAGUUGUUGCAGUUAAAAAGCUCGUAGUUGAAUUUCGGGAUCAGAUUGUCGGUCGUGCCUCGGUACGCACUGGCAUUAUUGGUUCCUACCUUCUGAAGAACCGCGAUGUCAUUAAUUUGGUGUCGUGGGGAAUCAGGACUGUUACUUUGAAAAAUUAGAGUGUUUAAAGCAGGCGCACGCUUGAAUACAUUAGCAUGGAAUAAUGAAAUAGGACGUUUGAUUCUAUUUUGUUGGUUUCUAGGAUCGACGUAAUGAUUAAUAGGGAUAGUUGGGGGCAUUAGUAUUCAAUUGUCAGAGGUGAAAUUCUUGGAUUUAUUGAAGACUAACUACUGCGAAAGCAUUUGCCAAGGAUGUUUUCAUUAAUCAAGAACGAAAGUUAGGGGAUCGAAGACGAUCAGAUACCGUCGUAGUCUUAACCAUAAACUAUGCCGACUAGGGAUCGGAUGAUGUUAAUUUUUUAAUGACUCAUUCGGCGCCUUACG
rnacentral:rRNA from 1 species